rnacentral:rRNA from 1 species
UACGGGGGGGGCAAGCGUUGUUCGGAAUUACUGGGCGUAAAGGGCUCGUAGGUGGCCAACUAAGUCAGACGUGAAAUCCCUCGGCUUAACCGGGGAACUGCGUCUGAUACUGGAUGGCUUGAGUUUGGGAGAGGGAUGCGGGAUUCCAGGUGUAGCGGUGAAAUGCGUAGAUAUCUGGAGGAACACCGGUGGCGAAGGCGGCAUUCUGGACUGCAACUGACACUGAAAGACGAAAGCCAGGGGAGCAAACGGG